ensembl:lncRNA
GGGGGCGGUGGGUACAUGGAAAAUCUCUCUACCUUCUGCCUAACUUUGCUGCUAACCUGAAACUGCUCUUAGAAUAAAGUCUAUUGUAAACAUGUAAGCCCCAAAAUGAGAGGGUCACACCGGCCAAGCUUCGUGUCCUGUGCAGCGCUUGCUGCCACCCUUGAUGGCUGGUCUCAUUGUGAGUUUGUGCACCUGCCCCUGCCCCGUCGGUCCCCCAGGUCCUGAAAAGGCUUUGUGUCCUGAGCUCGAGGGACUGGGGAACCUCCGCAGACAUAUGUGAGUGGACACUACAUUCUGACCCACAGCCUAUCAGAGACGAUGGUUCUUCAUCUAGGAAGUCAUGGCCUCUGCCCAGAUCUGCCCCGAAGUCAGGAAGGAGUGACGCCGAGCACCUCCAUAGGAGAGACAGGAGUGGAGGGGGCUGGAAGGUCGCUGGUGGUCGGUGCCUGGGGACCAGCUUGCGGGAUGUGGAAAAAUUGGAGCCCUUGUACACCGCUGGUGUGUAUCAGAAUGUGAAAUGAUGCAGUCACUGUGGAAAACUGCUCAGUGGCUCUUCAGAAAGUUAAACAAUCUGAGCACGUGCUCCAGUGCCCCCAUGCCCAGGGAUAUACCUAAAAGAACAGAAAACUGGAGCUCAGAAGAUGCUUGUAUGUGACU